rnacentral:rRNA from 1 species
UACGAAGGGGGCUAGCGUUGCUCGGAAUUACUGGGCGUAAAGCGUGCGUAGGUGGUCUGUUAAGUCUGUUGUGAAAGCCCCGGGCUCAACCUGGGAAUGGCAAUGGAUACUGGCAGGCUAGAGUGCGGUAGGGGAGACUGGAAUUCCUGGUGUAGCGGUGAAAUGCGCAGAUAUCAGGAGGAACACCCGUGGCGAAGGCGGCACUCUGGGACGGUACUAACGCUGAGACGCGAAAGCGUGGGGAGCAAACAGG